AUUGAACGCUGGCGGCAGGCCUAACACAUGCAAGUCGAACGAGUGGCGGACGGGUGAGUAAUGUCUGGGAAACUGCCUGAUGGAGGGGGAUAACUACUGGAAACGGUAGCUAAUACCGCAUACCAUCGGAUGUGCCCAGAUGGGAUUAGCUAGUAGGUGGGGUAACGGCUCACCUAGGCGACGAUCCCUAGCUGUUCUGAGAGGAUGACCAGCCACACUGGAACUGAGACACGGUAAAGCUGCCUACGGGAGGCAGCAGUGGGGAAUAUUGCACAAUGGGCGCAAGCCUGAUGCAGCCAUGCCGCGUGUAUGAAGAAGGCCUUCGGGUUGUAAAGUGCUUUCAGCGGGGAGGCGUUACCCGCAGAAGAAGCACCGGCUAACUCCGUGCCAGCAGCCGCGGUAAUAC
rnacentral:rRNA from 1 species